GGGGUCACUCUUGAUCUGGUUGGACGGGAAAUCGAGAUUGGCGUCGGUCAAGCACGCUGUGCUCCCUCCUGAGAAACUGCCCUGCAUCUGGCGACAUGAACGUAAACCUUCAUCAUCAAAUCUCAGCGGUCGUUCAGCUCAUCUCAAAAGGACCCUGUUGAAGAAGACCACGCUGAGCACCAGGGUGAGGGUCUGCACCACCACGGCGGCCAGCGCCAGCAGCCAGAAGCACUGCGGGGAACCCCAGGAAGCGCUCAUGUCGAUGUCUCACCACCAAAGAGGAAAAUGAGGAGGAGGGGGAAAAGAGAGAAGAGCAUAGAAAAGGCGGAGGAGGAAGGGGAGUGUUGGGGGGCUUGCCUGCCCUAUUGUGCUUCCAGUCCAGCGAGGGCAGUACAUCAACAACCUUCAUCAUCAUCAUCAUCAUCAUCAUCAUGAAAAACGGGCUUCCUCUUAUUGUUGCAGUGAUCUCCGA